rnacentral:rRNA from 1 species
AACGAACGCUGGCGGCAUGCCUAACAUAUGCAAGUCGAACGAGACCUUCGGGUCUAGUGGCGCACGGGUGCGUAACGCGUGGGAACCUGCCCUUAGGUUCGGAAUAACUCCACGAAAGGGGUGCUAAUACCGGAUAAUGUCUUCGGACCAAAGAUUUAUCGCCUUUGGAUGGGCCCGCGUUGGAUUAGCUAGUUGGUAGGGUAAAAGCCUACCAAGGCGACGAUCCAUAGCUGGUCUGAGAGGAUGAUCAGCCACACUGGGACUGAGACACGGCCCAGACUCCUACGGGAGGCAGCAGUGGGGAAUAUUGGACAAUGGGCGAAAGCCUGAUGCAGCAAUGCCGCGUGAGUGAUGAAGGCCUUAGGGUUGUAAAGCUCUUUUACCCGGGAUGAUAAUGACAGUACCGGGAGAAUAAGCUCCGGCUAACUCCGUG